AAUGGGGGAAACCCUGAUCCAGCCAUGCCGCGUGUGCGAUGAAGGCUUUCGGGUUGUAAAGCACUUUCAGUCGGGAGGAAAGGGUGCAGGCUAAUACCCUGUGCAGUUGACGUUACCGACAGAAGAAGCACCGGCAAACUCCGUGCCAGCAGCCGCGGUAAUACGGAGGGUGCGAGCGUUAAUCGGAAUUACUGGGCGUAAAGCGCGCGUAGGCGGUUACUUAAGCGAGAUGUGAAAUCCCCGGGCUUAACCUGGGCACUGCAUUUCGAACUGGGUGACUAGAGUUUUGGAGAGGAGAGUGGAAUUCCCGGUGUAGCGGUGAAAUGCGUAGAGAUCGGGAGGAACAUCAGUGGCGAAGGCGGCUCUCUGGCCAAAAACUGACGCUGAGGCGCGAAAGCGUGGGGAUCAAA
rnacentral:rRNA from 1 species